GACGAACGCUGGCGGCGUGCUUAACACAUGCAAGUCGAACGGAAAGGCCCUGCUUUUGUGGGGUGCUCGAGUGGCGAACGGGUGAGUAACACGUGAGUAACCUGCCCUUGACUUUGGGAUAACUUCAGGAAACUGGGGCUAAUACCGGAUAGGAGCUCCUGCUGCAUGGUGGGGGUUGGAAAGUUUCGGCGGUUGGGGAUGGACUCGCGGCUUAUCAGCUUGUUGGUGGGGUUGUGGCUUACCAAGGCUUUGACGGGUAGCCGGGCUGAGAGGGUGACCGGCCACAUGGGGACUGAGAUACGGCACAGACUCCUACGGGAGGCAGCAGUGGGGAAUAUUGCACAAUGGGCGGAAGCCUGAUGCAGCAGCGCCGCGUGCGGGAUGACGGCCUUCGGGUUGUAAACCGCUUUCGCCUGUGACGAAGCGUGAGUGACGGUAAUGGGUAAAGAAGCACCGGCUAACUACGUG
rnacentral:rRNA from 1 species